rnacentral:rRNA from 1 species
CAGUCGCCGCGGUAAUACGUAGGGUCCAAGCGUUAAUCGGAAUUACUGGGCGUAAAGCGUGCGCAGGCGGUUGUGCAAGACCGAUGUGAAAUCCCCGGGCUCGACCUGGGAACUGCAUUUGUGACUGUAGAGCUGGAGUGCGGCAGAGGGGGAUGGAAUUCCGCGUGUAGCAGUGAAAUGCGUAGAUAUGCGGAGGAACACCGAUGGCGAAGGCGACUCUCUGGUCUGUAACUGACGCUGAGGAGCGAGAGCGUGGGGAGCGAACAGGAUUAGAGACCCCUGUAGUCCCUGUCUCUUAUAC